UUUAUGGAGAGUUUGAUCCUGGCUCAGGAUGAACGCUGGCGGCGUGCCUAAUACAUGCAAGUCGAGCGAACAGACGAGGAGCUUGCUCCUCUGACGUUAGCGGCGGACGGGUGAGUAACACGUGGAUAACCUACCUAUAAGACUGGGAUAACUUCGGGAAACCGGAGCUAAUACCGGAUAAUAUAUUGAACCGCAUGGUUCAAUAGUGAAAGACGGUUUUGCUGUCACUUAUAGAUGGAUCCGCGCCGCAUUAGCUAGUUGGUAAGGUAACGGCUUACCAAGGCAACGAUGCGUAGCCGACCUGAGAGGGUGAUCGGCCACACUGGAACUGAGACACGGUCCAGACUCCUACGGGAGGCAGCAGUAGGGAAUCUUCCGCAAUGGGCGAAAGCCUGACGGAGCAACGCCGCGUGAGUGAUGAAGGUCUUCGGAUCGUAAAACUCUGUUAUUAGGGAAGAACAAAUGUGUAAGUAACUAUGCACGUCUUGACGGUACCUAAUCAGAAAGCCACGGCUAACUACGUGCCAGCAGCCGCG
rnacentral:rRNA from 1 species